AUUGAACGCUGGCGGCAGGCCUAACACAUGCAAGUCGAGCGAGCGGCGGACGGGUGAUUCAUGUCUGGGGACUGCCCGAUAGCGGGGGAUAACUCAUGGAAACGGUGGCUAAUACCGCAUACUAUCGGAUAACCCAUAUGGGAUUAGCUAGUUGUUGGUGUAAAGGCUAACCUAGGCGACGAUCUCUAUCUGGUCUGAGAGGAUGAUCAUCCACACUGGGACGGAGACACGGCGCAGACUCCUACGGAGUCAGCAGUGGGGAAUAUUGCACAAUGGGCGCACGCCUUAUGCAGCCAUGCCGCGUGUAUGAAGAAGUCCUUAGGGUUGUAAAGUUCUUUCAGCGGGGAGGCGUUACCCGCAGAAGAAGCACCGGCUAACUCCGUGCCAGCAGCCGCGGUAAUAC
rnacentral:rRNA from 1 species